rnacentral:lncRNA from 1 species
AGUCGCCGCUUCCGCCUUGACCAGGUGGAGCUGGAGACCUGGUCUCUCUAGGGCCUACCCUGAGCUCACCAUCUGAAGGAGAGUGCCAUCAUCCUUAGGAACUCCUUCUCCAGACAUGCUUCCUGAGGCUGGCUCCCUGUGGCUACUGAAGCUGCUCCGGGACAUCCAGUUGGCCCAGUUUUACUGGCCCAUCCUUGAGGAGCUUAAUGUCACUCGGCCAGAGCACUUCGACUUUGUAAAGCCUGAGGACCUGGACGGCAUUGGCAUGGGCCGGCCUGCCCUGAUUCUGGCCUCCCACAGCCCAGCGCAGACUGUCCGAAGCUCUGAAAAGGCUACGUUCUGGGCCUAAGUCUAAGAACUGGGUCUACAAGAUCCUUGGAGGUUUUGCCCCUGAGCACAAGGAGCCCACCCUGCCCUCGGACAGCCCACGGCACCUCCCUGAGCCAGAGGGGGGCCUCAAGUGUCUGAUCCCAGAGGGUGCUGUUUGCAGAGGGGAGCUGCUGGGUUCAGGCUGCUUCGGUGUGGUGCACCGAGGGCUGUGGACGCUGCCCAGUGGCAAGAGUGU